rnacentral:tRNA from 1 species
AAAGAAAUAUCUAUUUAAAAAGCUUCUAACUUUUAAAAAAGCAAAAAAAAUUGUUUGU